CWRCCRCKGUAAUUCMMGCUCCAAUAGCGUAUAUUAAAGUUGUUGCAGUUAAAAAGCUCGUAGUUGAAUCUCGGGAUUGACACAUCGGUCGUGCCUUAAGGGGUAUGAACUGGUGUAGUCAAUUUCUCACCUUCUGGAGAACCGCGAUGCCCUUAAUUGGGUGUCACGGGGAACCAGGACCUUUACUUUGAAAAAAUUAGAGUGUUUAAAGCAGGUAUUUUGCUUGAAUACAUUAGCAUGGAAUAAUAAAAUAGGACGGCAUGAUUCUAUUUUGUUGGUUUCUAGGAUCACCGUAAUGAUUAAUAGGGAUAGUUGGGGGCAUUAGUAUUCAAUUGUCAGAGGUGAAAUUCUUGGAUUUAUUGAAGACUAACUACUGCGAAAGCAUUUGCCAAGGAUGUUUUCAUUAAUCAAGAACGAAAGUUAGGGGAUCGAAGACGAUCAGAUACCGUCGUAGUCUUAACCAUAAACUAUGCCGACUAGGAAUCAGACGAUGUUAAUUUUWKRMYGACUCGUUCGGCGCCUUACGGGGAAAAACAAAAAC
rnacentral:rRNA from 1 species